GAGAGAGAGAGAGAGAGAGAGAGAAAACUCGUCGGAGACUUACGGGAAUCCGGUCACUAGACCUCGAAAUCUCGUCACUGGUCACCGGUAGCUAGAAGUCUUUAAAGAGCUCGUCGGAGACUUUUAUUGCCCCUGAUAAUUUUUUUUUGCCUCCCAAUAAAAAGGUUUUUUUGAAGGUCAAUAAAAACUUUUUAUUGAGAGGCAAUAAAAGUUUAUUGAGGGAAAGGGAGCAAAUUUCCCUAAAAUUAGAUAAAUAAAAUUUUGAUUGAGGAAGAAUAUGAGGAUAUUGCAUCAAUUCACAAUCUUUUAUUGGGGUGGGGGAAUAAAAGUUUAUCGAGUUUUAUAAUAAAAGUUAUAUAUACAAACUCCACGUACUACCACUUUUGUUUUAUAAUCACUACACACUAAAAAAUGAAAGGUUCAAUUACGUAUUUAGUUUUACAAGGUCCACGGAGAUCUCAUAAAAUUUUUAGGAGAUUUAUUGACUCUCAAUGCAAGUUUGUUGACCCUCAAUAAAUGUUGUUAUUGCCUUUUAAUAAAACUUUUAUUGACCAUAAUAAAAAAUUUAGUAACUCCCAAUAAAACUUUUAUCCAGAGUAAAAAAACUGAACAAAAUGUUAAGUAAUCUAAUUUAAUUGCAUAAUGCAAAUGGAGCUUUUUAGAACUGUCAUGCACACAAAGAAUAGUUCACUAGAGAUGAUCACUAUGAAUAAGGAUGAAAGAAUAUUCAAGAUGUCUUCUAUAUUCUUUUCUUUUUUUGUCUGAACUCAAGAUUAUUUCCAGCAAUUGCAUAACCAAACAAAAGGAACACAAAUACGUACAUAGGCGGUCAUCCAUUCCGGCAGGUGAAUAUCUGAAUUGGUAAAAUCCAAAUUUGAGUUUGUGUCCAACUGGUGUAGGUGGAGCUUGUAAAGAGAAAAACACCUUCCGACUUGCUUCUGCCGGAGGACAAGAAGAUCUCCACUAGGACAAUACUCCAUUACUAAACAAGAAAGAUUAUCUGAUGCAAACUGGGAACGAGAAAAGGAUAAUCCUAACCACUAACCAUUACCCACCACUCCAGCACCGCGCAACCUCCAUUGAAAUGACGUCGUUUCUGCACUUGCCAGCAACUUCCUUUCUUCCUUCUUCUCUCCGCGGAGCUUCCCUCACAGCUCGGCCCAAUCCCAGCUCGCUCUGUCCGACCCGGUUGAGUGUUAAAUGCAGGCAUGCACAGGCUAGUGUAAAGAGCGAGGAUUUUAAUUCUGGCGCCAUAGACGUUGCGGCUGACGUUAGGCUUGAACGGGUAAGCACAAAUUCACAGACCUUAUCCCGUCUGGAAUCGAAUU